AUGGCGGUGUGGCAUGCUGAGAGGCCUCGGGAGCACCUCAACUUCCUAGAUAUCGAGAGUCGGGCAGAAGCGGAAAUGCUUGUGCUGCAGGGCAUCAAGAUGAAGAAGAUCACGACGAAGAAGACGACGACGAAGAAGCCGUCGGUUGUCGUCAAUGCCGGCGAUACCGAUGAGGAGGCGAUGGUGAGGUUUGCUCAGGAGCAUCCAGAGUACGUCCAUGCCGAGCUGGAGUACUACUGGAAGCGUGAGGUGGAGCAUAAGAAGAAGGAGGACAAGGCCGGUCCCUCGAUGGUGAUCCCCAUCGAGUCCUCUUCCGAGGAGGACUGGGCAGACUUCUCGGAGUAUGAGCAGGAGGGGUGCGACGACCCAGAGAAGGAGGAGUUCUGGGCGCAGUUCCGCAGCUCCGACAAUGAGGAGUAG
rnacentral:rRNA from 1 species